CUAAGUCCCCUCACCCCGAAGCCCCAUCUCAGUCCCCCUCCAUCUCACCACACACCCCUCCCCCUACAUCUCAGUCGCCCUCCAUCUCUGCCCUAACCCCUCCCCCUCCAUCCCAGACUUAUCGAUUUAAUAAAUAAUACAAAAUAAUAAAUAAUAAAAAAAACAAUUACCUUCCCAUCGCCAUGGUCGGAGCUCACUACCUCUUCAUCUCUCUCUCUCUAAAACUCGAAGUGAAAAAAUGAGUAUUUGAAACCCAAGAUUCUUUAUUUUUAUUUUUUCUUUUGGUCUCCCUCUGUCUGUUGCUCGUGGUUGAAGCGAGGAAUCCAGUGUAGUAUUGAAUCCGUGAAGGUCUAGUUUGGUCGACAAGGAAGCCCAUACUAGCAAGACUUCGCAGUACUGUGAUGGGUGGCAAACUCAAUUUUUAGCAGGUACCAGGGUAUUUUUUGCUAAGAAGAUGAGAGGCAGGGGUUUGUGGCAACUUGGGCAAUCAUUAACCCGUCCGCUUGCUCAGACUGAUAAGAAGACCACUCGUCGAUACUUUUCUGCAGAACCAGAGCUGAAAAAGACAAUGAGAUUCAGGAUGCCACGUGAAGGAGCUUUGGUAGUGGGUCUAUCCCACGAUGGCGUAGCAGAGGCAGCGAUGCUAACGAAGUGCUCCAAGGCUGUAGCACGGUUGCUUUCAUGGUGGUUGUUGGCUUUCCAAGGUGGCAGCGGAUUGGUGUCUCUAGCUGGGCAACCUUGGCCUGUGUUGGACAUGGAAGGCAGUACAAGUUUGGUUUGUGGGGUCUGUUAGUUUAAUAUAGAAGUACUCGAUUAGUUUGUGGGGUCUGUUAGUUUAAAAAGUUUGUUUGGAGGAGAUGAUCAAUUAGGAGGAGACCAGACGUUACCUCCCUGAACAUCAACAUCUUCUGCAUAUAUUGAAGUACUGGAUUGGCUUGGAGAAAGAGGAGCUCCAAUUGGUUGUGACCUUUGUAAUGACCUUUAAAUGAAAAGUUGUGUAAUGAAAUCAGCUUAGCUCUAGACUGGUUUCCUUACUUUUCAAUGAAAUAUGUAUAUUCAUAUUGGUAACAUAUGUUUAUUGUA